AUUGAACGCUGGCGGCAUGCCUAACACAUGCAAGUCGAACGGUAACAGGCCCUUCGGGGUGCUGACGAGUGGCGGAUGGGUGAGUAAUACUUAGGAAUCUACCCUGUAGUGGGGGACAACCCGGGGAAACUCGGGCUAAUACCGCAUACGCUCUACGGGGGAAAGCGGGGACCGCAAGGCCUCGCGCUAUUGGAUGAGCCUAAGCCCGAUUAGCUAGUUGGUGGGGUAAUGGCCUACCAAGGCGAUGAUCGGUAGCUGGUCUGAGAGGACGACCAGCCACACUGGGACUGAGACACGGCCCAGACUCCUACGGGAGGCAGCAGUGGGGAAUAUUGGACAAUGGGCAAAGCCUGAUCCAGCGAUGCCGCGUGUGUGAAGAAGGCCUGCGGGUUGUAAAGCACUUUCAGUAGGGAAGAAAUGCUUGGAGCUAACACCGCCUAAGUUUUGACGUUACCUACAAGAAGAAGCACCGGCUAACUCCGUGCCAGCA
rnacentral:rRNA from 1 species